AACGAACGCUGGCGGCAGGCCUAACACAUGCAAGUCGAGCGAGGACUUCGGAUCUAGCGGCGGACGGGUGAGUAACGCGUGGGAAUGUGCCCUUCUCUACGGAAUAGCGCUGGGAAACUGGGAGUAAUACCGUAUACGCCAGAUUGGGGAAAGAGUUAUCGGAGAAGGAUCAGCCUGCGUUGGAUUAGGUAGUGGGUGGGGUAAUGGCGUACCAAGCCGACGAUCCAUCGCUGGUUGGAGAGGAGGAUCAGCCACACUAGGACUGAGACACGACCCAGACGCCUCCCCGACGAAGAAGAUGGGUGACUUCCACCAUGCCGGCGACGCUCACCUUGCCGCGCCGCGUGAGUACUGCGCGACGUAUGGUUAUAAAGAGCGUGCGGCUCAGAACGUAUUGACCGUACCAACAGUAGAACACCCGGCUAGCACCGAA
rnacentral:rRNA from 1 species